CUCCGACUGGGGGGCCGCCUGCCCCGCGCUCCACUGCCCACGUCGCCAGGUUCCCCGAGGUCCUCUGCCCAGCUGGAUCUGUAUUACGCUAUCUUCUACAGCCGCAAUCGAUCCCAUAGCCUGAUAAUGCGUGUUGCCGCGUGACUCUGGUCCAAGAAAAAGUUCGGUAUUUAAAGAUCUCCAUCUCACACUUUUUGAUGACGAGUCUGUCACCAAAAAUGAUCCUGAAGAGGGAGUUGACGAGUUAAGACAUCUGUGAAGAUAGCCCAGUCAUGUGAAAGUGCCUUCAAAUGCUAACGGACCGUCAGACAGAGAGAACGACCUGCGUCGCGAUAUGCCGAAGAGAAAGGGUUCAAACUCCAACCCCACACACUGUACUAUAGCAGUCUUUUCGUAUAGUGGGUUCAAUGGGGUGUAGAUGGAUGCUGAAAGAAGAAUCAAGUGAGAUUGUGUCGCACUAGUGAGAUAAGGGUAUUAGAAGUUGAUAUGGUUAAAGGUCCCUACAUAACUGCUUUUAAGGUAGUGAAUACUCAGUGUACUGGAUCCAGGCAUCACUGGCAGUCCAAAUCACAA